rnacentral:lncRNA from 1 species
CUAAAGAAACAUAGCUGAAGAAACCCUAGAUCAGCCGCACAAGUUAUUCCUCUCCUAAUCAAGGCGAUUCUCCAUCUUCACUUCGUCAUCCCUUCAUCAUCUUCAAUUUAUGACUUCUGUGUUGAACUCACACUCAAUGGCGGCCAGAAACACAAUCCUUAUGUACCGGCGUGACACCUGUUCUUCAAUCUAUGUGAUACUUGUGGUUCGAUUUAUUGAAGCAAUCUUUAAGAUUAAGAUUAUUGUUUUUGGUGGGUUAAACCGUUGAAGAGAAGCAUCAGAGGUUUUUGGUUUUUAGAGAAUAUUUCUGGUGGGUUAAAAAGCAUAACAGUUCCAGUCCUCCUAACAGGUUAGGUAUCCUAAUUUUCCGAUUUCACCCCUGUAGAGCAUCGCUUGACGGGGCGCUGCUGCUACCAAAACAAAAUUAUUAAAAGUUUUAUAUCUCAAUGAGGUAACUGUUAGUUUCAUCAAAAUGAUUUUCAAAAUUUAUAAUUUUAUUUUACAGUUUAGGAAUUGAUAUAAUUGAAAUGAAAUAGUUAGGAUUCUGCCCUUUAACCAAUAUAUAUAUAUAUAACAUGAAGAAGCUGGGGUUCCAUAUCAAUUAGCUUUUAUAGGUAAAGUAAUAAAAAAUUGAAUAUUAACUAGAAGUUAAAUAUAAGCAAUUAUUUUUGUUUCUUUAAUAGGGCUCCAUAUCAGUGAGUAUGUCCAUAUAUUUCUUGAGUUUUUGUUUCAUAUGCACUCAUUUAACAUUUGACAUUGUUAAAAUGAAUGCAAAUAUGGAUGAAAUAUAUAAAAGAACACACUUUAAUUCAGUGUUAAAUGCUACAGUUCAAGAAAUGUAAUGAUCAUUAGUAAGCAUAGGAUUUAAAUAUGUUUAUUUUAUCUAUAGUUGAUUAAUUCCUUUUUGAAGAUUACUAACGCCUACUAAUAGGAAAAAUGUUUUAAUAUGUAACGUAAAGGCUAUUUUACAAAUUGAUUUUGUAACUUUUAGGCGAUAUUAGUAACUUUGGUUUUCUUGAAUGAAACGAUUAUGAGGUUGUGUUGAAUGUACAAUUUGGAAAACGUUUGAUCUCAUUUGACCUGUUUCAUUUUUAGCCAAAAUUAUUAGAUAUUACACAUUUGGCCUGUUAGCUAACAAAAGUGCUGAUAGGAAAAUUGUUUUAAUAUGUAAUGUAAAUGCUAUUUUACAAAUUGAUUUUGUAAGUUUUAGGCGAAUUAUAUGGUUGGGAGAUCUUACUUACCUCGUUGAUUUGUCAUACGAGGAAACACGUGAUUUGAUUUCCAACAAUGCAUAGUCCAAGUUGUUAGAAAGCAGAGAUGAGCUCGGUACCAACUAGGUAGUGAAAAUCCCCUAAAAUGUGUACGGUACUGGUACGGAAAAUCCCAAAAAUGGGUGCCGGUACCAAAAAUCCAAAAGUCGGUACCUAAAAUAUUUCGGUUCGGGGUAUUCGGUCUCGGUAUUUGGUACCAUUUGCUCAUCCAUAUUAGAAAUUGAUCACGUCUCGUGGUGGUAGCACUUCAAACCGUGGUGCCAAAAGUGGUACAGGUCGUUAUGCUGGCCAUGGUUCUAGAUGGGGAACCUUUACCAAUAUUCGCAUUGUUAAUAAGCUAUUAAACGGGGAGUCAAGAAAAAUGAAGACACUGGCUUGGCGUUUAGAUGCUCCUAAUCUUGAAAGCUACCAUGCAAGAGUGGGGUCUUUGUAUUGCUAUUGUUACAAAUGCAUAUGUAAUGUUAACAGGGGAAGGUAGCUUUACACAUUUAUGCUUCUUGUAUAUGAGUUUGCUAAACCCAACAUCUACUUCUUGUAAUGUUAACAUUUAUGCUUGAUGACUAUUGAACCCGUAUAUUAUUGUUGCUUUUGAUUGUAAUUUAAAUUUUCCUACCCGGGUAUCUACCCGGGGAAUAACCUAGUACUAUAUAGAUACAUAUAAUUUGCUUUUUAUUGUUGUGAUCAUGACUUUAGUAUCUAUGUAGAACUUCAUUCUACAAAAGCCUACAUACUCCAUUGAUCAUCAUAUACCUAACACUUGCUGACCAUGUGUAGUGGAAGACACAAAUAAUGCCCUCACCCUUAGGUGUUUUGCGCCAUGUGGCAGUCCAGUUAGCAAUGUGGCAUUAUGGGACGUUUUUCUAAAAUGGGUGCAGUGGGGAUGUGGGCAUUGUGGGGCAUUAUGUUAAAAGGGGUGUGAUAGAACUUAAAUAAAAAAA